AUCUUCCCAUUGACAGCACAUAUAUGACAAUCAGAAUAAUACACAGAUUAGCACUGCCCUUAAGCAAGGAUGACACUCAAAUUUGUGAAGCAUUCCAUACUUUU